GUUAUGUCCACACUCUUGCUGCUUACUUACUCAGCGAGAGUUAAGUGAGUCUCUCAUUGUUGGCCAGCUUUUCACAGGGAGAGCUUGGCUUCUAUGUCUAAUCUAGACAUAAUAGAGAUUUUUCAACUUUCUUUUCUUUUUUCCCCUCCUUCCUGCCACCAUUCAACUUUUAGGAAAUUCACACCGGAAGAUGACAGGUGCUUUCCUAGACCCUAUCUGCCAGAAUUGCUUUUAGGAAACAGAUCUGUGCCCAGCCUCUGGAUGCCCAGAUUAUGCUGUCUCUCUCCAGAGGAGGUCAGAAUAGAGCAGAUGAGAGAGGAGAAGCAAGACCAACAACUGGAACGCAGUGAAGACGUCACAAACACUGGCCCUCAAAGAGCUAAUGUGCAUUUUGAACACACACAGGUCCUCCAUCUUUCACUUCCAAAUUCUGUCUUUUCAAAACUAUUUCUCCAUGCCACAUCCCCAAAUUCAGGUAAGAUAUGCUUAAUAGCCAACCCUAGGAGGGGGAAAAAGAUAUUCCUGUGGAAAAACACCAAGCCAAAGCCAAGUCUCCUUUUAUAGGAAGGUGAUUCUGAAUCAGGGAAGGAGGGAAGAGAUGAGUGUAACCAGUGGCACCCCCUGGGAUAACUAAGUUACAAACACAGCUCAUGAGCCAAGUUGGAGAUCUGAUUGUAGGAAAAGUGGUUGUUGUUCUCUGUUCCUUUCUAUUAUCUAACGUGGGAGUUAAGCAUAUGCAUUAGAGUAAAAGUUGUGAAAGUCAGAGACCAAAGUAUCACUGAGGAUGAGAUAAGGAAUAACAUGUAGAUCUGCGACAUUAACCUAUAGCUGAAGGAAGCACUGUCUUGCUUGGCCUCCUCUGAGCCUGCUGUGUUCGGUGUAGGAGGGUACACGGUGAAGGGUUUUAAAAGCCAGAACAGGACUAAACAAGUCACAAAUGUUUUUUUCCUUCUGGUUUUACUGAAAUAUAAUUCACAUACAGCACUAUAUGUGUUUAAUGUGUACAGCAGUCAUGAUUUGACUUAUAUACAUCAUGAAAUGAUUAUCACAAUAUGUCUAGUGAUCAUCCAUCAUCUCAUAUAAAUACAAAGUUAAGGAAUUAGAAAAAAAAAUUUUCCUUGUGAUGAGAACUCUUAGGAUUUACUCUCUUAUAGCUUUCAUAUAUAACAUACAGUAGUGUCAAUUAUAUUUAUCAUGUACAUUACAUCUCUGGUACUUAUUUAUCUUUAACUUCAAAUUUGUAUCUUUGACAGCCUACAUCCUGUUCUCCUCCUCCCAACCCUGCCUCUGAUAACCACAAAUCUGAUCUCUUUUUCUAUGAGUUUGUUUUUGAAGCACAAUUGACCUUCAACACUGUUAGUUCCUGUUAUACAGCAUAGUGAUUCGAUAUUUCUGUACAUUUCAAAAUGAUCACCAAGAUAAGAAUAGUUACAUUACCAUAUGAAGAUACUACAUAGUUAUUAACUAUGUUCACCACACUAUAUAUUUCAUACCUGUAACUCAUUUAUUUUGCAACUGAAAUUUUCUACCUCUUAAUUUCCUUCGCCUAUUUCUUUCUUCCCCCUAUCUCCAUCCCUUAUGGCAACCAGCUGUUUGUUCUCUGUAUCUAUAACUGUG
rnacentral:lncRNA from 9 species